UUAUUUUGGUAUCCGGGUUCACCUUCUCUAACAUAUACAAAUAAGAAGGCAAUAUUUUGUAUCCUUUCUCGGGAUCAUCACGCAAAUCCGCAACAGCUUGAUUUUUUCCUCUCAAACAUGUCGUAUAUGACACUUCCACACCCAAUUUCCUUUCCACCAGACUGACCAGGGUUUUCGCAGUUGGUGUCUCAUAUAGUCCCGGAUAAUCCUUAUGCACUAUAGCUACAACACAUCUUGGUGUAAUUUUCCUUUUGACUCCAGUACUUGAAGUUGCGCGAGAGCAUGAAUGCAUCUUCAUUUAUGUUCUAAUCGAGAACGCUUCAGAAUUAUUUAUCUUUGUAGCUCUCACACCCCAUUUACA
rnacentral:lncRNA from 1 species